CAGACAAAAAUAGAGACUCCACCAAAGAAUGAGGAAAUGAUCAAUGAAGGAUUGUGAGGGUGACCAGACUGCACACAGUACUCCAGAAGAGGCCUCACCAGCAUCCUGUACAACUUCAACAUGAUGUCUCACUCCUUUACUCAAAGGUCCAGUAAUGAAGGAACCAACCAGCACAAAGACACUCUGAUCCUGACUGCAUGAAGUAAGCAGCAAAUGGUAGAAAACCACUUAAGGCCUGACGAGGGCUUUUAAUCCUUUUAAUUGUGUUUCCUCUGCUCAGAAUUUAGUUUGCUUCAGUAACUGCACUCAAG